CAGUCGCCACGGUAAUACGUAGGUGGCAAGCGUUGUCCGGAAUUAUUGGGCGUAAAGCGCGCGCAGGCGGAUCGGUCAGUCUGUCUUAAAAGUUCGGGGCUUAACCCCGUGAUGGGAUGGAAACUGCCAAUCUAGAGUAUCGGAGAGGAAAGUGGAACUCCUAGUGUAGCGGUGAAAUGCGUAGAUAUUAGGAAGAACACCAGUGGCGAAGGCGACUUUCUGGACGAAAACUGACGCUGAGGCGCGAAAGCCAGGGGAGCGAACGGGAUUAGAUACCCCAGUAGUCCCUGUCUCUUAUACA
rnacentral:rRNA from 1 species